AUUGAACGCUAACGGCGUGCCUAACACAUGCAAGUCGAGCGGCAGCAUGAUCUGUAGCAAUACAGAUUGAUGGCGAGCGGCGGACGGGUGAGCAAUACAUAGGAAUCUACCUUGUAGUGGGGGAUAACCCGGGGAAACUCGGGCUAAUACCGCAUAAUCUCUACGGAGCAAAGCGGGGGAUCGUAAGACCUCGCGCUAAAAGAUGAGCCUAUGUUGGAUUAGCUAGUUGGUGAGGUAAUGGCUCACCAAGGCGACAAUCCAUAGCUGGUCUGAGAGGAUGAUCAGCCACACUGGGACUGAGACACGGCCAGACUCCUACGGGAGGCAGCAGUGGGGAAUAUUGGACAAUGGGCGAAAGCCUGAUCCAGCAACGCCGUGUGUGUGAAGAAGGCCUUCGGGUUGUAAAGCACUUUUAGUUGGGAAGAAAAGUUCAUGGCUAAUAACUAUGAGUGAUGACGUUACCAACAGAAAAAGCACUGGCUAACUCUGUGCCAGCCGCCGCUGUAA
rnacentral:rRNA from 1 species